rnacentral:rRNA from 1 species
GACGUAGGGCGCGAGCGUUGUCCGGAUUUAUUGGGCGUAAAGAGCUCGUAGGCGGCUUGUCGCGUCGAACUGUGAAAUCCCGCGGCUCAACUGCGGGUCUGCAGUCGAUACGGGCAGGCUAGAGUUCGGUAGGGGAGACUGGAAUUCCUGGUGUAGCGGUGGAAAUGCGCAGAUAUCAGGAGGAACACCGAUGGCGAAGGCAGGUCUCUGGGCCGAUACUGACGUGAGGAGCGAAAGCGUGGGUAGCAAACAGG